rnacentral:rRNA from 1 species
AGUGAACGCUGGCGGUAGGCCUAAUACAUGCAAGUCGAACGGCAGCACAGUAAGAGCUUGCUCUUACGGGUGGCGAGUGGCGGACGGGUGAGGAAUACAUCGGAAUCUACUUUUUCGUGGGGGAUAACGUAGGGAAACUUACUCUAAUACCGCAUACGACCUACGGUUGAAAGCAGGGGAUCUUCGGACCUUGCGCGAUUGAAUGAGCCGAUGUCGGAUUAGCUAGUUGGCGGGGUAAAGGCCCACCAAGGCGACGAUCCGUAGCUGGUCUGAGAGGAUGAUCAGCCACACGGGAACUGAGACACGGUCCAGACUCCUACGGGAGGCAGCAGUGGGGAAUAUUGGACAAUGGGCGCAAGCCUGAUCCAGCCAUACCGAGUGGGUGAAGAAGGCCUUCGGGUUGUAAAGCCCUUUUGUUGGGAAAGAAAAGCAGCAGGUUAAUACCCAGCUGUUCUGACGGUACCCAAAGAAUAAGCACCGGCUAACUUCGUG